rnacentral:rRNA from 1 species
GACAUCCCAUGCAAUGCUAUAGAGAUAUAGUGGAGGUUACCAUGGAGACAGGUGGUGCAUGGUUGUCGUCAGCUCGUGUCGUGAGAUGUUGGGUUAAGUCCCGCAACGAGCGCAACCCUUAUUGCUAGUUGCCAUCAUUUAGUUGGGGACUCUAGCGAGACUGCCAGUGACAAACUGGUGGAAGGUGGGGAUGACGUCAAAUCAUCAUGCCCCUUAUGGCCUGGGCUACAAACGUGAUACAAUGGGUGCUACAAAGGGCAGCGACUUAGCGAUAAGGAGCCAAUCCCAAAAAGUUAUCUCAGUUCGGAUUGCACUCUGCAACCCGAGUGCAUGAAGUUGGAAUCGCUAGUAAUCGUGGAUCAGCAUGCCACGGUGAAUACGUUCCCGGGCCUUGUACACACCGCCCGUCACACCAUGGGAGUUGGUUUUACCCGAGACGGUGGGCUAACCUUUUAGGAGGCAGCCGGCCACGGUAAGUCAGCGACUGGGGUGAAGUGUAACAAGGUAACCAAGGGCGAUUCGAGCACACUGGCGCCGU